rnacentral:rRNA from 1 species
CAGCACCUCAAGUGGUCAGGAUGAUUAUUGGGCCUAAAGCAUCCGUAGCCGGCGCUGUAAGUUUUCGGUUAAAUCUGUACGCUCAACGUACAGGCUGCCGGGAAUACUGCAGCGCUAGGGAGUGGGAGAGGUAGACGGUACUCGGUAGGAAGUGGUAAAAUCCUUUGAUCUAUUGAUGACCACCUGUGGCGAAGGCGGUCUACCAGAACACGUCCGACGGUGAGGGAUGAAAGCUGGGGGAGCAAACCGGAUUAGAUACCCGAGUAGUCC